AGUGUCAGAUCGCCAGCUGCCACUUCCUCCAGCAGUCAACGCCAGUACCUGGGGCCAAGUGACCACCUUAGAUGGGUUCAUCAAGGGCUGCAACCCUCCCCCUUCCUGUGCAAACACGACCUGUGACCCACCUCUGGCUUGCCACGCCUCCUGGACGCAGCCUUCUUGCAGCUGCGGUUCAGGGAGACAUCUGGUGGGAUCUGCAUGCGAAGACAUCAACGAGUGUGUGCUGGAGCCGUGUCUGCACGGAGGAACCUGCUAUGACCUGAAGCCAGACUAUCUUUGCCUUUGUGGCCCGAACCACAUCGGUGACAACUGCGAGUGGACCAAAGUCUCCAACCCAGGCAUCCCACUAACCGAGUCCGCAACUAUAGCGGCCCUUACACUGUCGCUUCUCUUUUUAAUCCUCAUGGGAGUGUGUAUCUCCUUACGACAUCACCGACUGCGAUCAGCCAGAGCCUUGGGUCGCCAGGAGACAGAAGACAGCGGAGACUCGAAGGACGCCAUCCUAGCCGUCAAAGUAGGAUGCAAAGGAUCGGUGAUGGCUGGAGACUCAGAGAAGAAG